UGGGGCACCAGCCUUCCCAAGUGGUAGCCUUCACAGGAGGGAGGGGUGGGGGUAAGGGGUAAAAAGACCACAAGACCGUUAAAAAAAAUCAGGUAACUAAUUAGACACAGAUAAACUGUAAACAGUUCUCUCUCCCCAGUGGACAAAAAGAAUAAGCUUCUGAUGCUGACUCCACACCAGAACGAUUUCUACAGCUUGCCUGUCGCGCUGUCGUACAAGGGCUGAUGUGGUGGGUGGGUAGACCCCGAUGCAGUCAUCACAGGCCUGGGCUGGAGUCUGUCUGCUUGUAUCAGGGGUGUGUGUGUGUGUGUGUGUGUGUGUGUGUGUGUGUGUGUGUGGAGUCUGCU